UUUUAUUGUCCAGUAAUUUUGGGUUUUCAUUUCUUGGAGUAUUUCCAAAUGAUUGACAGACCAGAAUUAGUUUUCAAAGUUGUGAAGUAUUAAUUCUUGAUAUUGAUAUACUGUUGAAUUGAGAGAGUAGUUGAUUGCUCAUCUCUUAUGAAUUUGAAUAGCUCUGGGAAGAAGUCAGUGCUUUCAACUUUUGAUUUCGUUCCAAUUCUCUGGAACAACUACUAGAGAGAGGGUAUUCACCUAAAGAGUGUACCAAAUACUCAACCUUUCGGUUCAGCAUCUUUUCCAGGCAUGCAUCACUUUUUGCGCAUAUACUCUUUCUAUAUGAACAUUAAUAUCUGCGCCAUCCGUGACUUCAGAUUUAACAUCUUUUUCAGAAAAUACUUGAGAUCUAACCUUGAUAUCCAUUGUGUUUUAAUGUUUUCCAUCCCACAAUUAAUCAGCUGAUGUUCUUGGUGUUUUCUUUUUGGUUAUCUUUUAUUUUUCAAAAGAAGUUUAAUUGUGAUGUUCUUGGUUGUAGCAGGUGAUGCGUUCAGAGAAAAUGCCGGAGCAAAGCUGGGCAAUCUGCCUCCCUCUCUAAGACCUCUGCCAGAG
rnacentral:lncRNA from 1 species